AUUGAACGCUGGCGGCAUGCCUUACACAUGCAAGUCGAACGGCAGCGGGCCUUCGGGUGCCGGCGAGUGGCGAACGGGUGAGUAAUGCAUCGGAACGUGCCAUUGAGUGGGGGAUAACGUAGCGAAAGUUGCGCUAAUACCGCAUAUUCUGUGAGCAGGAAAGCAGGGGACCGCAAGGCCUUGCGCUCUUUGAGCGGCCGAUGUCAGAUUAGCUAGUUGGUGAGGUAAAGGCUUACCAAGGCGACGAUCUGUAGCGGGUCUGAGAGGAUGAUCCGCCACACUGGAACUGAGACACGGUCCAGACUCCUACGGGAGGCAGCAGUGGGGAAUUUUGGACAAUGGGGGCAACCCUGAUCCAGCCAUGCCGCGUGAGUGAAGAAGGCCUGGUUGUAAG
rnacentral:rRNA from 1 species